rnacentral:rRNA from 1 species
AUUGAACGCUGGCGGAAUGCUUUACACAUGCAAGUCGAACGGCAGCACGGGUGCUUGCACCUGGUGGCGAGUGGCGAACGGGUGAGUAAUACAUCGGAACGUACCCAGUCGUGGGGGAUAACGUAGCGAAAGUUACGCUAAUACCGCAUACGUCCUGAGGGAGAAAGCGGGGGACCGUAAGGCCUCGCACGAUUGGAGCGGCCGAUGGCGGAUUAGCUAGUUGGUGGGGUAAAGGCCUACCAAGGCGACGAUCCGUAGCGGAUCUGAGAGGACGGCCCGCCACACUGGAACUGAGACACGGUGCAGACUCCUACGGGAGGCAGCAGUGGGGAAUUUUGGACAAUGGGCGAAAGCCUGAUCCAGCCAUUCCGCGUGAGUGAAGAAGGCCUUCGGGUUGUAAAGCUCUUUCGGCAGGGAAGAAACGGCUUGGGAUAAUACCCCGGGCUAAUGACGGUACCUGAAGAAGAAGCACCGGCUAACUACGUGCCAGCCGCCGCGGUAA